rnacentral:rRNA from 1 species
UACGAAGGGGGCUAGCGUUGCUCGGAAUCACUGGGCGUAAAGGGUGCGUAGGCGGGUCUUUAAGUCAGGGGUGAAAUCCUGGAGCUCAACUCCAGAACUGCCUUUGAUACUGAAGAUCUUGAGUUCGGGAGAGGUGAGUGGAACUGCGAGUGUAGAGGUGAAAUUCGUAGAUAUUCGGAGGAACACCAGAAGCGAAGGCGGCUCACUGGCCCGAUACUGACGCUGAGGCGCGAAAGCGUGGGGAGCAAACAGG